GAUGAACGCUGGCGGCGUGCCUAAUACAUGCAAGUCGAGCGAACAGACGAGAGUGCUUGCACUCUCUGACGUUAGCGGCGGACGGGUGAGGAACACGUGGGUAACCUACCUAUAAGACUGGGAUAACUUCGGGAAACCGGAGCUAAUACCGGAUAAUAUUUAGCUUCGCAUGAAGCAAUAGUGAAGGACGGUUCUGCUGUCACUUUUAGAUGGACCCGCGGUGUAUUAGCUAGUUGGUGAGGUAACGGCUCACCAAGGCAACGAUACAUAGCCGACCUGAGAGGGUGAUCGGCCACACUGGGACUGAGACACGGCCCAGACUCCUACGGGAGGCAGCAGUAGGGAAUCUUCCGCAAUGGACGAAAGUCUGACGGAGCAAUGCCGCGUGAGUGAAGAAGGUUUUCGGAUCGUAAAACUCUGUUGUAAGGGAAGAACAAGUACGUUAGUAACUGAACGUACCUUGACGGUACCUUACCAGAAAGCCACGGCUAACUACGUG
rnacentral:rRNA from 1 species